CAAUCUCAAGAGCGAGGAAGAAGGUCUGGGAUGGAAUGUGCAGUAUUAUUCCAUGUGAUGCUCGUGAGGGUGCGGUGCAGUGGAGGGUGACAUGGUUCUGUCUAACUUUCCAUUGGCUCAGAAAUCAUAACCCUCAGGCUUUGCCUUCUCUACUAGUCCUGAGAGGCCCCUUCCAACUUCUUCCUGUGUAGUUCCGAGUGCUUCAGAACAGCAUCUGUGGGUAAAUUCUACUGUAUUGAGGUUUUCUAAAAAAGGGAACUGUGUAUAGUGCAGGCAACUUCCCUCAAGCAGAUGCAGUGCCUCUUGCUGAUGCAUGUUUCAUUUUCUGAUCAAUGUCUUUAUUCUCAAAUUCAGCCAAGUACCAACACAAGUGGGCUUCCCUAGCGGCUCAGUGGUAAAGACUCCGCCUGCCAAUGCAGGAAAUGUGGAUUCGAUCCCUGGGUCGAGAAGAUCCCUUGGAGAAGGCAAUGGCACCCCACUCCAGUAUUCUUGCCUGGAAAAUCCCAUGGACAGAGGAGCCUGGCAGGCUACAGUUCAUGGGGUUGCAAAGAGUUGGACACGCCUGAGCGACUAAACAACAACUAAUACAAGUGAAUAUGGCCAGUGUGGUCGCCUAUAGGAGGUCAAUUAACCUGGAUAAGGAGCAACCUCAAAAGAAAGAUAUUUGAUCCUGAUGACCUUUAUGCAGGGGUCAAUUUCUCCAAGGUUCUGAACACUCUUUUAGCUGUCAACAAAGCAACAGAAGAUCAGCUCUCAGAAAGGCCAUGUGGACGUUCUCUUCUCUUAGCGCUGCUAAUAGUUCUCAGACAAACCCACAGGGAGCAGUUUCUAGCACAGCUCCAGGACUGCAAAGGCAGUCAAAGCCAGGGUAA
ensembl:lncRNA